UACGUAGGGAGCAAGCGUUGUUCGGAUUUACUGGGCGUAAAGGGCGCGUAGGCGGCAAUGCAAGUCAGCUGUGAAAUCUCCGGGCUUAACUCGGAACGGUCAGAUGAUACUGCUUUGCUAGAGUACAGAAGGGGCAAUCGGAAUUCUUGGUGUAGCGGUGAAAUGCGUAGAUAUCAAGAGGAACACCUGAGGUGAAGACGGGUUGCUGGGCUGAUACUGACGCUGAGGCGCGAAAGCUAGGGUAGCAAACGGG
rnacentral:rRNA from 1 species